GUGGGGAAUAUUGGACAAUGGGCGAAAGCCUGAUCCAGCCAUGCCGCGUGUGUGAAGAAGGUCUUCGGAUUGUAAAGCACUUUAAGUUGGGAGGAAGGGCAGUAAGUUAAUACCUUGCUGUUUUGACGUUACCGACAGAAUAAGCACCGGCUAACUUCGUGCCAGCAGCCGCGGUAAUACGAAGGGUGCAAGCGUUAAUCGGAAUUACUGGGCGUAAAGCGCGCGUAGGUGGUUUUGUAAGUUGGAGGUGAAAUCCCCGGGCUCAACCUGGGAACUGCCUCCAAAACUGCAUGACUAGAGUACGGUAGAGGGUAGUGGAAUUUCCUGUGUAGCGGUGAAAUGCGUAGAUAUAGGAAGGAACACCAGUGGCGAAGGCGACUACCUGGACUGAUACUGACACUGAGGUGCGAAAGCGUGGGGAGCAAACAGGAUUAGAUACCCUAGUAGUCC
rnacentral:rRNA from 1 species